GGAAUAAGCCACCGAAAGGUGGUCUAAUACUUCAUAAUAUCCAUCUCGUAUGGAUUAAAGCUUUAUGCGCUUUGGGAGGGGCCUGCGUAACAUUAGCUUGUUGGUGAGGUAAAAGCUCACCAAGGCUUCGAUGUUUAACUGGUUUGAGAGGAUGACCAGUCACACUGGACUGAGAUACGGCCCAGACUCCUACGGGAGGCAGCAGUAAGGAAUCUUCCACAAUGGGGCAACCCUGAUGGAGCAAUACCGCGUGCAGGAUGAAGCGUUUCGGCGUGUAAACUGCUUUUAUCACCGAAGAUUAUGACUGUAGGUGAAGAAUAAGGACCGGCUAACUACGUG
rnacentral:rRNA from 1 species